AGAAUCAACGCUGGCGGCGUGCCUAACACAUGCAAGUCGAACGCGAAAGGGGAGCAAUCCCUGAGUAGAGUGGCAAACGGGUGAGUAACACGUGGGUGACCUGCCUUCGAGUGGGGGAUAACGUUCCGAAAGGAACGCUAAUACCGCAUGACAUCCUGUCUUUGAAUAGACGGAGAUCAAAGCUGGGGAUCGCAAGACCUGGCGCUUGAAGAGGGGCCCGCGCCUGAUUAGCUAGUUGGUGAGGUAACGGCUCACCAAGGCAACGAUCAGUA
rnacentral:rRNA from 1 species